rnacentral:rRNA from 1 species
UACGACGGGGGCUAGCGUUGCUCGGAAUCACUGGGCGUAAAGGGUGCGUAGGCGGGUCUUUAAGUCAGGGGGGAAAUCCUGGAGCUCAACUCCAGAACUGCCUUUGAUACUGAAGAUCUUGAGUUCGGGAGAGGUGAGUGGAACUGCGAGUGUAGAGGUGAAAUUCGUAGAUAUUCGCAAGAACACCAGUGGCGAAGGCGGCUCACUGGCCCGAUACUGACGCUGAGGCACGAAAGCGUGGGGAGCAAACAGG